UGGGCACAGAAUCCAAUGUCCUGACGGGCUUUCCUCAACCUGUGAUCACCAUCGCUGCCUGCCCAAGGAGAAAGAGUCCUCUUAGACUUACUCUGCUGGAAAAACCAACUGGACACUUUGCCCUGUCUCAUUCUGAUGCUUCCUCUUUCCUCACACUUCUCCAGCCACCAGCGACGGUGGCUGAGAAGUCCCUCCUCCCCGGACAAGAAGGUCAUUCAACAAACUUCCUCUGAGAUUCCAUCAUCGAUAAGCCAUCAGUCGCCCAGGGUUGGUUUGUUUUGUUAAUUUGCAGUUCUAUUUUUGCUGAACAGAAAAGGAAGAUCAAUAGCAACCAUGGGGAUUUCUGGGCUGCUCCAAUGUGAACUCCUACUUCUAUUUGAAAGCACAACAAUG